rnacentral:rRNA from 1 species
UACAGAGGGUGCGAGCGUUAAUCGGAAUUACUGGGCGUAAAGCGUGCGUAGACGGUUAUUUAAGUCGGGUGUGAAAGCCCCGGGCUCAACCUGGGAAUUGCAUUCGAGACUGAAUAGCUAGGGUACGGUAGAGGGAAGUGGAAUUUCCGGUGUAGCGGUGAAAUGCGUAGAUAUCGGAAGGAACAUCAGUGGCGAAGGCGGCCUUCUGGACAGUGACUGACGCUGAGACGCGAAAGCGUGGGGAGCAAACAGG